rnacentral:rRNA from 1 species
GAAUUACUGGGCGUAAAGCGCGCGCAGGCGGUCCUUUAAGUCUACCCGUGAAAUGCCGGAGCUCAACUCCGUGCACGCCGGGGGAUACUGGGGGACUGGAGACAUGUAGAGGCAAGCGGAAUUCCGGGUGUAGCGGUGGAAUGCGUAGAUAUCCGGAAGAACACCUGAGGCGAAGGCGGCUUGCUGGGCAUGAUCGGACGCUGAGGCGCGAAAGCGUGGGGAGCAAACAGG